GUUACCAUAAUACACCUUUGGAGGCAGAGAUAUAGUGCUCGAUACAUGUUAGGGCUAAUUUUUAUUAGCUUAAGGCUCCAUGUUUUGUUCUUCAUUCAUGAUGUGAUGUCAUGAACUGCAGACGUAAUACCUUUUUUCUCCUUAACCUGUAGUGGAGAAUUUUCUGACCCCAUUUUGCUUGAUUAUAUCUGGAUUAUGCAUAUACCAAGUGGACCAUAAAAUUUUGGUCAUAAUAUGGAAAAGAAACACAUACUAACCUUUUGCUGACUUGAUGAUUUCUGAUAAUAUCAAAUGAUCACGCGGGUAGGCAAGGAUGAGUUUGGUACAUGUUGGCUGAUAACUUUAAGGAAAACAAAGUUGAUAAUUCGGGUGUUUGGUUUGAUCCUCAUGUGCGGACUGCACUGGCAUUUGUUACACUCAGAGCUGAUGGGGAAUGCGAGUUCAUGUUUUUUCAGAAUCCCAAUGUUGACAUUCUUCUACAAGAAUCUGAACUUGACAUUGACCUCAUUAAGAAGGCAAGGAUCACCUGAAAGAUUCGCUCUAUGCCAUCUAAUUUUAUAUAGAAUGAAAUAGUUUUAUGGACACUAACAGGUGAAUGUUUCAACCAGGACCUGUUCUUUGAGCAACUGGAUAGAACAGCUAUUCAGUAGACUUGUUUGAAAAUGCUUUCUUCUUGUUUUUGACACUUUUUAUAGUGGGCUUCCAUUUUUCACUAUGGUUCAAUUAGUCUGAUUGAGGAGCAAUACAAAUCGACACAUCUCGCAACAUUAAAAGUAGCUGAGGAAUCAGGUUGCAUCCUGUCUAUGAUCCAAAUCUGAGAUUGCCACUAUGGCCAUCAGCUGAUGCUGCUCGGCAGGGCUUCAUGAGCAUAUGGAAUCAGGCAGACAUUGUCAAGGUGAGUGAGGAAGAAAUUUCAUUUUUGACUGGAGGAGAUCCUUACGAUGAUGAUGCUGUAUAUAAGAAACUUUUUCUAUCCAAACCUUAAACUUCUUCUUGUUACCGAAGGACAAGAGGGGUGCAGAUAUUACACCAAGAUAAUUAUUCAGAUUUAGCUUCAAUUCCAUGUAAAGAUAUGAAGAAAUUUAACAGCAAGGUCGAAGGCGUUAAAGCUAAAUGUGAUGACACAAUGGGUCCUGGUGAUGCUUUUGCAAGUGGAGCACGGACACUUUUGUGAGUGGAGUACUUAGCAUCUUAGCUUCUAACCCUGAUCUUUACCGGGUAAAAGAAAUUGAAUAACAUGGUUUAUUAAUCUUGUUUGCCCAUUCCUAAUUGUAUUUUUAAUAUAUAAAUUCUUAAGCUAAUAACUAAAUUAAUAGAUCUAUUAUGUUUGCUUU